CUUCGGGGGGGGGGGGUUAUACGCUGAGAAUCUGCCCUCAGGAGGGGGACAACGGUUGGAAACGACCGCUAAGACCCCAUAUGCCGAGAGGUGAAACAAAUUUUGCCUGAGGAUGAGCUCGCGUCCGAUUAGCUAGUUGGUGUGGUAAGAGCGCACCAAGGCGACGAUCGGUAGCUGGUCUGAGAGGAUGAUCAGCCACACUGGGACUGAGACACGGCCCAGACUCCUACGGGAGGCAGCAGUGGGGAAUUUUCCGCAAUGGGCGAAAGCCUGACGGAGCAAGACCGCGUGAGGGAAGAAGGUCUGUGGAUUGUAAACCUCUUUUGACAGGGAAGAAGUUCUGACGGUACCUGUCGAAUCAGCCUCGGCUAACUCCGUGCCAGCAGCCGCGGUAAUACGGAGGAGGCAAGCGUUAUCCGGAAUUAUUGGGCGUAAAGCGUCCGUAGGCGGAUGUUCAAGUCUUCUGUCAAAGCGCGGAGCUCAACUCCGUAAAGGCAGAGGAAACUGAGCGUCUAGAGUGCGAUAGGGGCAAGGGGAAUUCCCAGUGUAGCGGUGAAAUGCGUAGAUAUUGGGAAGAACACCGGUGGCGAAAGCGCCUUGCUGGGUCUGCACUGACACUGAGGUAC
rnacentral:rRNA from 1 species